CACACAUAUAUAGCACCCCUAUAUUAUGUGUGUGAGGGGUGAUAUAUAUAUAUAUAUAUAUCACCCCUCACACACAUAAUAUAGGGGUGCUAUAUA